rnacentral:siRNA from 1 species
AAGCACACCGAAAUCCCUCCCGGG